rnacentral:lncRNA from 1 species
CGGCGGUGAUAAAGAAAACGCCGGUCGGCGGCGGGCUCUGUUGGAUUUUUCCUAACCACCAAUCCAUACAGAGGCAGUAAUCAGGAAACUACAAACAUAAAACCAAAAUAGAGGAAUCGGAAAGCGCAACUGGAAUCUAACUUUAGUUUUCGAAAUCAACUGGUGCAUGUUGGUUCUAGACGAAUCGUUUGCAGGUUUUUUAUCAACGAGAGAUUGCAGAGUGCGAUGGAGAAAAGUACGACCCUUUCUUCAACGAUUGGUGGUGACCGUUGACUCGAUGUCGGAAACUGGACGGUUAGGUUGAAUCUAGUACCCGCGUCUGGUGCUUCUAGUUAAAGCAGGUCGUGGCGGCAUUGCUCCUUCGACGACAGAUUGCGGACGGUGGAUUGCAGCGCUUUUCUACUCUCUAAGCCGUUUGACGCUGCGAUGGUGGGA